rnacentral:rRNA from 1 species
CCUACGGGCGGCUGCAGUGGGGAAUAUUGGACAAUGGGCGAAAGCCUGAUCCAGCCAUGCCGCGUGUGUGAAGAAGGCCUUCGGGUUGUAAAGCACUUUCAGUGGGGAAGAAAGCCUUGGGGCUAAUACCCUCGAGGAAGGACAUCACCCACAGAAGAAGCACCGGCUAACUCCGUGCCAGCAGCCGCGGUAAUACGGAGGGUGCGAGCGUUAAUCGGAAUUACUGGGCGUAAAGCGCGCGUAGGCGGUCUGAUAAGCCGGUUGUGAAAGCCCCGGGCUCAACCUGGGAACGGCAUCCGGAACUGUCAGGCUAGGGUGCAGGAGAGGAAGGUAGAAUUCCCGGGGUAGCGGUGAAAUGCGUAGAGAUCGGGAGGAAUACCAGUGGCGAAGGCGGCCUUCUGGACUGACACUGACGCUGAGGUGCGAAAGCGUGGGUAGCAAACAGGAUUAGAUACCCGAGUAGUC